CCUACUGCUCAUAACUACAGUGUAGGUUGGCAUCUCUGGCCUCAUGAGGACAAACUGGUUUUCUUCUCACCAGAACCUCCUAAAAGCAGCAGAGCAUUCAACUGCCUUUCUUCCACUUGCCCUGAAGACAAGCACAAAAUGUCAAUGUAUGCUCAGACUGCAUAUACUGCUGAUCAUGCUAUGGAAAGCUGGGCUGUUCCAUGGGUGAUUGUUCAGAAAACAGCCCCUGCUUGUGUCUCUGAGAACAAGCAUUUUUUUGUUGUUUGGGAGCAAGCAUCUCUGGAGUUAAAUGAGGAGGGCUGUUGUUCUCCACGGAGGCUGGAGUGCGUCGCUGUGCCUGGUGGUUGUCGGAGUGCCCAUGUUUGUUUUCUUGUGAUUUUCCUUUUCCCCACCUCCUGUUCUGAGCGAGAAUCAAGGAGGAGGGAUGGUGACCUCAUGGUGUAGUUAUGCAAUCUGCCAGAGCCAGGUAUCAAAACACACUGCAGCUGUGGAGCUGGGACCUCGCUGUGGCUGGGGGCCCUGGCCUCCUGGCUCUAAUGAGAUCACUGACCUUCUCCUGCCACUUCUUCUGCAGCUGCUUUGAUUCCCAGGGAUUUGUUGUGGCCAUGCCUGCCUAACGGUUUGGAAAGCUGCUGCAGGGACUGCUGCAUCCACAGGCAGGCUCUGGGAGCUGGCCCUGAAGACCUUGAGCAGGUGUAUUACUCCUGUGGUGCAGUGGUGGAAUCAAUGGAAAGAGGCCUGAUUUUGUCACCAGGUUUUCCAAACAACUAUUACCCAGGGACACACUGCGUCUGGCAGUUUUUCAUUCCCAUGAGAACCCAUCUCAUCUUGGAAAUAUUUGACUUUGACAUUUUUGAGAGCUCUAGUGAAACUCCAACCCCCUGGGAUGGCUUUACAGCCCCUGCUACAACAGAAAAUAAGGACAUGCCUUCUCUUGAGGAAAACCUGGAAUUUGCUGUCCACACCACAAAACCCUCUCUCCGGGCCUCAGCAUCAAAGGUGGCUCAGAAUCUGAGCAGCACCAGAGACCAGUCAAAGGACCUUGCUGGUCACCUGAGUGAACUUCCAGGAUCCAUCUCAAAAAAAGAUGAAGCCAAACAAGCAUCUGAAGAAAACCAGUGGAAGCAGAUGAAGGAACCCAAAGCAAUUACCAAGGAGGAGCUGCCAUUCCCCGUGGCUGGUAGUGUCUCAAUGCAGAGGCAAAACACCAGUGGCCUGGAAACAGGAGAGGAUUUGGAAGGGAAGAUCUUGCUUGCCCACCUGGCUGCUAGUGAGAGAAAUGAAGUCACAGUAGAGAGCUGGACUCUUCCCUCAACAGCAUUGCCCUUGGAAAUCUCCUCCAGCCCUCAGUCAGCAGUGGAUGUCUGUCCCCAUGAUGUAUUAUAUGUUUCCGAUCUCAUCACAUUUUCCUCUCGCUUCUGCGGCCCAAAUUCCCCUGUAAACAAGACCAUGGUCUUUGGUUCAUCUCUGGAAAUGGUUGAGGUUAUUAUGGAGCUGAUCACCACCACGGACCGGGGCCGAGGCUUUGCGAUGCUGUUCGAGUACAGGAACAUCACUGACCCCAGCACUGUGGAUGCUGUGAGGCAGGAGAGGAAGGAGAACAUGAUGAUGCUGGCAAUUGUAACAGGGAUCAUUGUUUUUGCUCUUGCUUUGCUCUCUGCCCUCUGUGUAGCUUGCAGGCAGAGAACGUGCCCCAAAAGGAGCUCAUCCAACGCAUGCAGUGACCAGGAGAACAGGAUCCAGAACUCCACUGUCGAUAUCAAUGAGCUCCAGCUGGUGGUGCCAAGUCGGGAGAAUGAAAACAACAACCACUCUGUGAGCCGGGAGCAGGCGGUCACUUCCUGCAGAGGCAGCACGGAACGGUCUCCUCAGGACACUGACCCAGAUGUGCCCUCCUCCAUCUCUGCAGUGACCACUGAGACUGGGAGUGAUGAAGUGUUUAUCAUUUCUGCUGGACCUGGGACCAGUGGGCUGAGCUUUACCACCUACAGGAUACAGGACAAAAACCUGAAAAGAAGUGUCACAAGCCCGGCCUCUGUGUCUGACUGGCUGAGCUCACACCCCACGGCUGCAGGGGCAGACGCUGCUGAGAAGGGGAAUGUGCAGCUGGAGAAUCCCUGUCCCAGGCAGCGCACCUGGAGCGCCCGCACCUUCCACGACUUCCUGGCUCCAAUACCACAGCUACAGAAAAAAUGGUGUAGCUGGAGCACCAACAGCCCCUUCACAAAGCUGGUUGACAGCAGUGGCUUUUCUACAGCUGCAAGAUCCCAAGCUGUGCCAACCAGAAAGGUAAUCUCAGCCACUGAGAUAGAGGGAGCAUCAGAGACUGUUUACUCUGAUUCAUCUGCCAGUAAUGCCUCAUACCCCCUCACUCUGUCUGCACAGAGGCAGCGGAAGUUAACCUCCUGCAAUUUGAAGAAAUCCAGAUUUGGGAACCCUUAUUUUGGAUUUUUAGCCAGUUCUCCUGACACCAAACAUGUCAGGUCCUUGGAUCCCUCAAGACAUCUAGGGGCAGCAUCUCCAGUUAACAGCCAAAGCCCCAAAAAUCUUCUAGAGAGCUCCAACCCACUGAAAAUCAACUUGGUCAACGGUUCAAAAACAAAGGAGCUUAUGGCAGAAACAGAUAAAAACAAACCAGUUUUUGUUAUUUCUGAAGAAGGGGAUGAUCAGCAGCCUCUGGUCUUGGCAGAACACCUUAGUCAGUGUGGAGAUCACCUGUCAGAGCAAAAUGCUGUGUAUGCUCUGGCCCUGCCAGAAAAACAGCCAGUGGUUCCAACUGCAGAGGGGAACAGCUCUGCCACCUUCACAUCGAGUCUUCCCCUUUGGGCAAAAUCCCCCAGUUCAUACAAAGGUCACGGGAAGGCCCCCAGCUCCUCCAGGGACCAGCAGAGCUCAGCAGGUGGAGAUGCCAACACUACUGAGACCUCACAGAACUGCGACACCCCCACUGCUCCUACGCUGUGCCAAGCUUCAGUCCAGUGA
ensembl:lncRNA uncharacterized LOC107211750